rnacentral:sRNA from 1 species
AUAAGAGUUGCCUUGGUCACGGUGUCUGUUCACAGCAGUAAAACCCUGACUAAGACAGAAGUCUACAUGAAAAGAAGCACAGCCACUCAGUGAGUCCUGGGUGGACUCAUAUUUGCAGAGCUUGUACCAGACGGUUGUACCUCUGUCCUGCUGAGGCUCUCUGUCCCUGCCGACUGCAAACCAGAGUUCAUCCUCUCAGUACAACAACACAUCAGGUUCUGUGGCAAACCAGUAUUUCUGAAGGUUUUUUUGUUAUAGCCAUUUGUUUUAUUUGCUUGUUUAUACUUUACAGGUGAAACCUAUAAAAUUAAUGAUGUGCUAGCUACAAUGUAGAGAUUUGCCUGUUAGUUUCAUCAUAAAAUAAAUGAUUAGAAAAUAUUUAUUAUCAUGAAAGAAGGAUUAUUUCGUAGAAUUUGUAAAAUUUUACAUGACGGUUUCUCUCGGUAAAAAAUAAGUUUUAGAAUCUUUCUGCAAGUUCUAAUUAAAACUGUUAAAUACGCAAGUGCCCCUCUCCAGUGUCCUUCAUGGCAAAGUUGGCUUUGAGGAUGAGAAGUUGGGCCAGCAAACCUGUGGUAGCCAACGGCAGUUCCAUUGCAAUUCACACUUAAGGUCAGAUGAUUCUGUUUCUGUGCCAACCGAUUGCCUUGCUUUGCUCACAAUGACCAGGUGAUAAAAACAUUCAUCUAGUCUGAGCAUGAUCAGGCGAAUGACACGGAAGAGAAACCACAUUAAUCAAACCCAUGAAGACUGUUUAAAAACAGAGCAGGAGACAGGAUAAAAUAAACAGAGAUAAAAGGCCUCAUUUUAUAAACUGCAUCACAGAAAUCAAUUUUCAUCCUUAAGCGCUUGCUUGCCUCAGUGACUGACGCUGCUCAGCUCCUGAUGAGCAGGAGUGACUUUGGGAGGUCUCAAACCCAGCCCCAAAAGUGAGAGUGACCCACCGUGCCACCAGACGAGUACAGAGGCCACUGCACUCCCAACCUGUUACAGUUUGAAUGCCAAAUGUCCCCAACAGGGUCACGUUUAAACAUUUCUUUUUCUCUAGUUGGUGGUACUGUUUUGGGAAGUCAUGGGGCUUUUGGUCUAAGGGAUAUGACUGGUAUGCACUUUAAGAGUCAAUCUGGCUUUUGGGGAGAGAUCUCUGUCUCCUGGUUGGUGCCACGUGAGAAGCCUUCACUGCAAGCUUGCCCCCACGCAUUCUGACCCACUCCAGCCACCAUACUUUUCUCCACGAUGGACUGUGUGCCCUCUAACUGUAAGCCAAAAGAAACCUCUCUUCUUUUAAGUUCCAGGCAUUUAGUUAUGGUGACAAGAAGGUCACUAAUUAACGACCCACAGCAGGAUGUAGAGGGGCGUCUGUGAGUUAAUCUCCCUGGAGCUUCCAGAACUGCUGUGAGAGGCAGCUGACCCCGGAUGAGGGUUUGGAAACAGUUCUAGAUGUAGGAGGAAGAACAUAUCUGGAAGAAGGGUGUCUCAACGUUCUUUAUCAUUUCUAAAUACAGACCACAUUAGAAGGCUCUGGUGAAAGGUGUGUAUGUGAAAUAAAUCAUAGAAUAUUAUAAAAGGGGGGCACUAGAUAGAGUCAGUAAAUAGGCACAGUCACAGUGUCAGCUAGAGCCUAGGGGUGAUGCUCAAUGCAAGAGUGCUUAUCUAGACUGCUGAAGUCUUGUGUUUACACCCUAGUUCCUCACACUGCCCCAGCGUUAACACAAGUGUCCUCACCUUUUGACACAGUGUGUUCUAUGUAACUCUGUCGGGUCUUGAACCUGAGAUCCUCCUAACUUUGUUUUCUGGAUGCUGCUGGGAUUACAGGUAUGUACCGCUGUGCCUGGCUUAGUUCUGUGUAUAGGCCCAAAAUAUAAAAUUACUACAACAGUAUACUUAUUAUAGCCUUCUUAUGUAUAUCAUUUAAAAACCAUAUGGACAGCAUCUAUAAGUUUUUCUAGUAAAACCUUAAAACUUAGGAAAAAAGAAAUAGGCUUAUAAAUAAAAGAUGCUCCAAGUGGUGUGAAUGUAUCCUGCAAGUUUCUGUGUUGGAAACUUAACCCCUAACAUGACGAUGUAGAGAGGCAGGACCUUUGGGAAGGGGUCAUCAGUCCAGGAGAAUUCCGCUUUUUGUGAAUGGACGAGCCUGACACCUCCCACUCCUGGAAGAAUGAGUCCAGGCUCCUCCCACUCCUGGAGGGAUGAGCCCUGACCCCUCCCACUCCUGGAAGGAUGAGCCCUGACCCCUCCCACUCCUGGAAGGAUGAGCCCUGAUCCCUCCCACUCCUGGAGGGUGAGCCCAGGCUCCUCACACUCCUGGAGGGAUGAGUCCUGACCCCUCCCACUCCUGGAAGGAUGAGCCCAGGCUCCCCCCACUCCUGGAGGGUGAGCCCAGGCUCCUCCCACUCCUGGAAGGAUGAGCCCAGGCUCCUCCCAUUCCUGGAAGGAUGAGCCCAGGCUCCUCCCACUCCUGGAAGGAUGAGCCCUGAUCCCUCCCACUCCUGGAGGGUAGCCCAGGCUCCUCCCACUCCUGGAAGGCUGAGCCCAGGCUGUUCAUUAUAAGUUCCAUAGCCUCUGGCAUUCCUUAUAGUAGCAGAAAACAGAUUAAGAGACUAUUUGAUAAAAAAAAAAAAUCUUACGGGAAUAGGAAGAAAAAAGUCAUUGCUUUGAUUGCUGAAAUGGAGGGUUAACUCCAUGGUAACCAUCUCAAGGAUUCUAUGAUUCUAUGAGACAGGCAGCGAUGUCUCAACUUCUAUUUUCCCAUCAAGAGGUGUUCUCACUCACAGGAGUUCUCAAGCUAAAGCCCCACAAGUGACGGCCUAGCUGUGAAGGAAGACUUUUGCCAGCGGGCUCUCAGAGCUCGGGAGGUCAAUCGGUGCACACCAGCACUACGGUCAGCCUACUUCCAGCUCUCGUACUGUCGGGCUCUGCAAUCUAGUCCAUCUGCCAAGAUGGGAGCUGCACACUUCGUCACCAUGGAGAUAGCUGGUCUGUACAACUGUCCAGGUAAACCAAACCCCAGAAGGCAUAUCGGUCACCAGCCACCAGACGUUCACACCGUUCACCAGGGGUCACAGAGCUGGGCAAUUCACACCUUCUGUCUGCACACAGAGAUGCUACUGAGUGGGUCAGCUCCUCCUAUUGUCUGUAUAAUAAACAAGUGGUUUGGGGCAGUGACUACGGCGAGGCAGCUGAGAGCCUUGGCUGCACAGAAUCUCACUGGAGCCUUUCCCAGAAAAGCACACAGUGUAAGGUCAUGCCUUACGCUAGUGCUGAGUCUCAGGUGUGGGGGCCAGGUACCCCACAAUCGGAUGUUCUCUGCAUUUUGACCAGGUGUGGCUUUCUGUAAUGGUCCCCGUCAAGGCGAAUAUUCUUGGUCCUUAAUGUGGCUGCCUAAGCUUUGCCAGUGGAUUCAAGGAGACACGAAAGAAAGGUGAGCAUUCAUUUUUCAGACGCUAGGAAGGUCACAGGGAGAGCAAGGCGGGUCGAGAUGGAUAGCGAAUACGCUUCACGUAAGUAACUUACUGAACCUUUUCCUGAGCCGCUUUUCUGCUAAGAGACACAGGCCCUUGGGCUGUGUGGGGCGGCCUUUUGGCUUGCCUCCUUAGGGGAUUUUAUCUAAACGCUCACUCAAAGCUCCACAGGUCCACAGUGUGACCCCCGUGCACACAAGACAAAUAAAAGCUAUAAAAAAUGUGCAGGGGGGAACCGCAGAGGUUUGACUAUUUAUAAUUUCUGAGCAUCAAGUUUGAAAAGCUGCCAUCCCUAAGAAAUACCUGUCAAGACUUCAUAAUUAAAAAAAA